AUUGAACGCUAGCGGGAUGCCUUACACAUGCAAGUCGAACGGCAGCGCGGACUUCGCUCUGGCGGCGAGUGGCGAACGGGUGAGUACUGUAUCGGAACGUGCCCAGUAGCGGGGGAUAACUACGCGAAAGAGUAGCUAAUACCGCAUACGCCCUACGGGGGAAAGGGGGGCAUCGCAAGACCUCUCACUAUUGGAGCGGCCGAUAUCGGAUUAGCUAGUUGGUGAGGUAAAGGCUCAGCAAGGCGACGAGCCGGAGCUGGUUUGAGAGGACGACCAGCCACACUGGGACUGAGACACGGCCCAGACUCCUACGGGAGGCAGCAGUGGGGAAUUUUGGACAAUGGGGGCAACCCUGAUCCAGCCAUUCCGCGUGUGCGAUGAAGGCCUUCGGGUUGUAAAGCACUUUUGGCAGGAAAGAAAUCGCACGGAUUAAUACUCUGUGUGGAUGACGGUACCUGCAGAAUAAGCACCGGCUAACUACGUGCCAGCAGCCGCGGUAA
rnacentral:rRNA from 1 species